rnacentral:pre_miRNA from 1 species
ACUAAGUUUAUUUUUUAGUUUUUAGAUACAAUGUUUUGACUCUUUAUCUUAUUUGAAUUUUUUUGUGAUUAAUAUUUUUAUUGUUACUAAAUGGUAAAACAUGAAUAAUUUAUGUGUGACUAAUUUUUUUUAAAUAAGAUGAAUGAUCAAACGUUGCACACAAAAAUUAAAAAAUAAAGUUAUU